rnacentral:rRNA from 1 species
UAUUGCACAAUGGGGGAAACCCUGAUGCAGCAACGCCGCGUGAGUGAGGAAGUAUUUCGGUAUGUAAAGCUCUAUCAGCAGGGAAUAGAAAAGAAGGUACCUGAAAAAGAAGCCCCGGCUAACUACGUGCCAGCAGCCGCGGUAAUACGUAGGGGGCAAGCGUUAUCCGGAUUUACUGGGUGUAAAGGGAGCGUAGACGGAAAGGCAAGUCAGAAGUGAAAGCCCAAGGCUCAACCAUGGGACUGCUUUUGAAACUGUGUGACUGGAGUGCAGGAGAGGUAAGUGGAAUUCCUAGUGUAGCGGUGAAAUGCGUAGAUAUUAGGAGGAACACCAGUGGCGAAGGCGACUUACUGGACUGUAACUGACGUUGAGGCACGAAAGUGUGGGGAGCAAACAGG